UUUGGCUCUGUCUGGUCUUUGAUUGGCUUUUGAGUUCCUGUCUUAUUCCUGGUUAGCUGUUGUUGUUGUUCCAGACCAUCAUUCUGUGAUCCUAAGGGAUUCUUCUGCGACAGAACUUCACAUUUCUGUAUAAUUUAGAAAGAAUAUGGGAUAUUCAGUUGAGACAAUAUUUUGUUUUGAAAACAGAUAAUAUGUGGGAGUCAGUCUUUGCUCUCACGUUACACCAGAUCUUCACACAGGGGUUGACGGCUGAAGCCGGAGCCAUGCACACACACUUCUUGCAGUCUGUUCCUUUGGUAACUGUCUCCACGGUGUAAAAGUCCCGGGAUGGUGAUGCCAGGUCGCUGUCAUGGAUACGGCUGCAGUCAGAGCGUUUGAUUGGUCGAACGAUACAGCGACACACACAGUCGGACCCUGAUGACACAGUCUUAACUUUGUCGUAAUCGCCCAGCAACUGAAAGAGAGGAGGAGUUUUUUUUGUCUUUCUAAGUAUCAUUUUUUACUUAUACUGGCUGCUCAAACAAAAGGAAACUUUAAACAAAAAAAAUACACUAACUUUUUACUUAACUUUAAAUUGAACGUACAUAUAUUUGAUUAUUGGUAUCAAGCAGCAAUACUUAAACUUUUUUAUUUUUUUUUUUUUUUUUUUUUAAGAGUUGUAGCAUGGGGGAUGAUUUGCAGCUGCAGCAGUGGUGAGCUGCCUGAGAAGAAGACAGCUUCAGGAGUUUACAAACAGGCACUUUUUGGUUUGGAGCACUUACAGUUUGAAGGAUAUUACAUAACCAACCACAAGACUGAUGCACACUGUUGCUGUGGAGCACACACACAGGCCUGAGUCUGAUUUACACGUCAUACAAGCCAAACUGAUGGACUGUGGGGUUUGGAUUGUGUUAAAAAGGAAACAUAAAGUAGCAGUAGGCCUAGUUUUGCAAGUAAAAACUGCUGUGUCUAACACAGUCACUUUCAUAUUGUAAAUGAGAAAUUUACAGUUUACAGUUCAAAGGCAACAUGUGUCCAAAAAGCACAAAUGCUUUGAAUUCUUAUGUGGUUUUCACUUGAUGAAUUGGAUGGAAAAUGUUCCUGAGUUCAACAAGUAGCCUAACCACUGAGAUGUGAUCUGACCAUGGCUCUACACACAAGCCUGUUGGCAAAGUGGUCACACGAAGUCACGUGGAGAGAGGAACAUUAAACUGGUCUUGGUUUGCAGUUCUGGCAGUUCAAAAGUUCCCACCAUUAACAGGAUUAGAAUUUUCUUGAGCCAGCACAGGCCAUACAAAACUUCACUUUACUAACUAACUUUACUUUUACUAACCAACAACCCUAAGUAAAUUGGAUAAUGCCGAAUUAAAGGAUGCCUAUUUUUAAGACAAUACGUAAAAUAUGGGAGCACAUUAGGGUACACCGACCUGGCUAAUGAUAUUCUCUUGGUUAUCCAGCUCAUCUUCCAGAGGCUCGGCGGUGGGUUGAGCUCUCCCCUCCGCACCAGGAGCGUCUGUCCCCGGGGAAAGCUGCUCCCCUCCCCGCGGACUGCUCCCCACUUUAGCCGCGGAGGGAGCAUCCCUGUCCGGAGUGCCCCGCUCUGCUGCUUCGGUCAACAGCAUCUUCCGAAGCGAGGGGUCAUCGCUUCUGUCCGCCUCUCGAGCAUCAAGACCACUAACAGCACAGCAUAAAAUCAGCAGAGAGAAUCCGCACCACAUUUCUCCACAAUGAACAGCUAGCUCUCUGUGAAGAUACAAGUCUCAGGUAAUUAUCAGGUAGUCGUUGCCAAAAAUGGCCGAGCAGGUCCAGUGUGAUGCGCUGAAAGAACACACGAACCACGUAUCCAACAGUCCACUGGUUUCUGAAUUAAGCUUAACAGGCUAAUUGUCCACAGCUCUUCUAAAGCGUUUUACAUCUCCAACGCAAUGAAUGAACGCUGGUUCAAAUUUUGCCUGAUAUACAACUUUAUACAACAGACUCACUUCAGUUCCUGUCAAUGAAGGUUGUAUUUAAAAAAAGGACGAAAGGAAAAUGAAUAAGUAAAUACUGUAAAUGCCGGAGACAAAGGAGCUCUAUUCGGUUACAUGCGACGUGUCGUCGGUGACAGAACUCCACACCGGACCCGGUCCAAACCAAGUCUGGCUGAGAGAGAGAGAGAGAGAGAGAGAGAGAGAGAGAGAGAGAGAGAGAGAGAGAGAGAGAGAGAGAGAAGAGAGAGAGAGAGAGAGAGUGUGAGAGAGAGAGAGCAAGAGAGAGAGAGAGAGAGAGAGACCUCUUCAGUCUUACUAUCCAUUCAUAGCAGUCAACAAACCCUAGGUUUAAGUAAGGCAAGGCAGCUUUAUUAUAUCUAUAAAAUCGUUUUAAAGAAUAGUUAGAAUGAGAGAAUAAAAACAGCUAAAGUAGAGUAAGACAGCAAAGAAAUACAAGAAUAAAAGUUACAGUGCAAAAGAAAAAAGACAAUUAUUUAAAAAAAUGGCAGCAUCAAACAGAAAAGUCUUCAUCCUCCAUUUAAAAGAACUGAGAGUUGCAGUGGGCCUGCAGUUCUCUGUUCCAGAUGCUGUAGCCUAUGUGGUGCAUAAAAACUCAAUUGCAAAAGACAGACCACCAUGGCCUCAAAACUACAGGUUUACACAACAAACAAAAAACAACAGGAUGGCGGACAACGAUUAAGGAAAAUAACAGAUGUCCGAGUCACGUUUAAGUCCAAAGUCUGGAUCCAUAGUUCCUCCAUGGUUCUGUAAUUUUAAUUUACAGACUGAAAAACGUGUGCUGCAGAACUGUGCUGUUUUCUACCAGUUUGGAGUUGCAGUGAUUAAAGAGAGAAAACGUGCUCUUCACCUUUUCACAGGCAUUUUGUAUUCAUAUUUAGACCGAUAUUGUGAUGAUAUCAUUAUAGGAUUGUCUAGCGAUAUAUUGAUUCAUGCAGAAUGGCUGCAUUGUCCUUAUCAUUAUCAUCGGUAUCGUUAGCCAUGUAUCAUGUAUCGUAUCGUGAUCCUGUGAUUCAUGAACACAUGACACAAAACAGC